rnacentral:misc_RNA from 1 species
AAGUCGUAACAAGGUCUCCGUUGGUGAACCAGCGGAGGGAUCAUUACAGAGUUCUCGCAACUCCCAAACCCCUCGGAAAUAUACCGUACGUUGCCUCGGCGGGCUCACCCCCCGCCGGCGGCCUAUCAAGCUCUGUUUUCUCAGUCGAGUUGAAUUCUGAACUUCAUAACGAAAUACGUUAAAACUUUCAACAACGGAUCUCUUGGUUCUG